rnacentral:rRNA from 1 species
UACGAAGGGAGCUAGCGUUGUUCGGAAUCACUGGGCGUAAAGCGCACGUAGGCGGAUCGUUAAGUCGGGGGUGAAAUCCCGAGGCUCAACCUCGGAACUGCCUUCGAUACUGGCGAUCUUGAGUUCGGGAGAGGUGGGUGGAAUUCCUAGUGUAGAGGUGAAAUUCGUAGAUAUUAGGAAGAACACCGGUGGCGAAGGCGGCCCACUGGCCCGAUACUGACGCUGAGGUGCGAAAGCGUGGGGAGCAAACAGG